CCGCAGGGUUGUGUGUCCUGCACAUUGCAGCACAGCAGCAGGGCUCUGCUUCUGCUUUCCUUCGACUGGCUCCUCCCACCACACUCAGGGCUGUAGCGUGGAUCAGCCCUGCAGCAGCAGCAGCAGCCUCAGCUUCUUUCUUCACCUCUCACUGGCGAUGUGUGCACUGUGCUGCCUCCCACACUGUCAGGGGUCAGCUCCCAUCCUUUAGUAGAAGAAGCAACAUACACAGGUGAUGUGAGGAAGUCUGUAGUGAAACCAGCUCAUUCAGGAUAUCCUUCGGAAGGCUUUAUACUCCAGAAAUGUUAGGUGUUCUGCCAGCUCCACAGGCUCCAGAUGGUCAAACAGAAGGCAAA